rnacentral:rRNA from 1 species
UACGUAGGUGGCAAGCGUUGUCCGGAUUUACUGGGCGUAAAGAGCGCGCAGGCGGCUGGUCAAGUCCGAUGUGAAAUCUCCCGGCUCAACUGAGAAACUGCAUCGGAAACUGAUCGGCUUGAAGGUGGGAGAGGGUAGUGGAAUUCCCGGUGUAGUGGUGAAAUGCGUAGAUAUCGGGAGGAACACCAGUGGCGAAGGCGACUACCUGGCCCAUUCUUGACGCUGAGGCGCGAAAGCUAGGGGAGCGAACGGG